CGCGUAGGCGGCUCGGAAAGUCGGGCGUGAAAUGCCGGGGCUCAACCCCGGGACUGCGUCCGAUACUUCCGAGCUGGAGGUAGGUAGGGGAGAUCGGAAUUCCUGUGUAGCGGUGAAAUGCGCAGAUAUCAGGAGGAACACCGGUGGCGAAGGCGGAUCUCUGGGCCUUACCUGACGCUGAGGCGCGGAAGCUAGGGGAGCGAACA
rnacentral:rRNA from 1 species